AUGGCCACGCGUGCUAAGCGUGGUCUUUUCCAGCCUGUCGACCAUCUUAAUCUCUCCGCCAUUCACUCCACUGCCUCUCCUAUUCCCAAAACAUCCCGGGGUGCCCUCCAUGACCCACACUGGCGUCGUGCUAUGACCAAGGAAUUUGAUGCUCUUGUCACUAAUGGGACGUGGUCUCUUGUUCCCCGUCCCCCUCGUGCUCAUGUUGUCUCAGGAAAGUGGAUAUUCAAACACAAGUUCCACUCGGAUGGCAGCCUAGCCCGGUACAAGGCUCGAUGGGUGGUAUGA
rnacentral:rRNA from 1 species